rnacentral:rRNA from 1 species
CAGCCGCCACGGUAAUACGUAGGGUGCAAGCGUUAAUCGGAAUUACUGGGCGUAAAGCGUGCGCAGGCGGUUUGUUAAGACAGAUGUGAAAUCCCCGGGCUCAACCUGGGAACUGCAUUUGUGACUGGCAAGCUAGAGUGUGGCAGAGGGGGGUGGAAUUCCGCGUGUAGCAGUGAAAUGCGUAGAGAUCGGGAGGAACAUCAGUGGCGAAGGCGGCCAUCUGGGACAACACUGACGCUGAGGCACGAAAGCGUGGGGAGCAAACAGGAUUAGAUACCCCAGUAGUCCCUGUCUCUUAUAA